rnacentral:tRNA from 1 species
GUUUCCGUGGCGCAAUCGGUUAGCGCGUCCGACGUAUGAUCGGGAGGUUGGAAGUUCAAGCCUUCCCGGGAACG